UGAAUAGGGGAUUAUCACGCUUCCUGGUUCCGGUGGCGGGAUUUGUCUUCGUUGUGCAUGAACACUUCCGGCGCACUUCCACCAUGGCUGAAACAAAGGCGAGAUGUCACUGCUCUCUGUUCCACUUUGUACAUCUAACAAACAACACCAACCCUACUUAAGUUUUCAUGGAUUCCCGACUGAAAUGAGUCUAAGGAAGAAGUGGAUUCAAGCGGUUCGCCGGGAUGAAGGGCCAAACUUUAAAAUAAAACAAGGUAGCAUGUUUGUUUGUAGCCGGCACUUUAGUGAAUCAGACUACAAACGCUACAGCUAGCAACCAACCGGGGUCACACCAAGCGACUGAAAAUCGGGUCUGUACCCUCCCGUUUCCAGUGGAACAACUGGGGACUGCCAAGAAGGGGGUCUGUUUAUAAAAGAGCAUCAACUCGCUUAGGCCAUGACGUUCACCCAUCCCUUCCCCUGGAGCAACCGCUGCCCUGUGAAUAAGAGCCGAUGGAGGAGAUCUCAGCUUCGGUGGUGAUGACAGAACAUGAUUUUGGUUCUGCUCCUAAACCAGGUGCACUGGAUGCUGCUGCUGUAAACAUACAGCAAUUGGAAGAAACAGUCAAGGAGCUGAUGAGAGCUGUCACAGCUGAAAGUGGUUCAAGUGCAUUUUCACAGAUUCUGUGUCUCAGACGCGGACAUCCUUUUUUACACCAGAUUCACGUCAAGAGAUGUUUUUUGUGACUUCUGGGAGGUUAUUCAACCAUCUGCCUCCAUGUUGGUUUAUUGGUCGAAAGCUCAGAAAAAGAAACAAACAUUUGAACCCAUUUCUCCCAGUCCAACGUGUAGACUGCAACUGGUUGAGUUUUUUCUCUUCUGCUGCCGGGUUGCUGCAGGCCUGCAAGAGAAGGUGCUGGCUGACAUGUUUCAGGUCAGUGUGUCCACUGUCUACCAUGUUGUUAUACCGUGGGCCAACUACCGUUACCUGCUCCUUGGCUCCCUCCCCAUCUGGAUGAGUAAACUGCAAGUCAAGAACACCAUGCCAAGAUAAUUUGUGCAGUACAGUCCAGAUGUUCAGAGCUGACUGAACGAAGUGGACUGCUGGAUUUACUGGAGCCAGGAGAUGGCUGCAUGGCAGACAAGGGUUUCACCAUCGAGAAGCCACUAGCUGAUCGUGGGGCAACGCUGAUUAUACCACCCUUCAAGAUGACAGUUCACUGAAGAGGAUGCUCUGAAAACACAAGCAAUCGCUCGACUUCGAAUCAUCGUAGAAAGAGCAAUAGGCAGAGUCAAGGAAUACCGCAUCUGGGAACACACUGUCCUUUCACCUUGUCUGCGACAGUCAAUCAGCUGUGGACCGUCUGCUGUGUGAUGACCAACUUCCAGGGACCACUUGAUUUAAAAGGCUACAUCCCUGUUGAAUAGUGUUUCUACUCAAACAUGUACCUAUAAAUAUUAAAUAUAAUAUAUAAAUAUUAAAACGAGAGGCACUGAACAUUUGGAUUGGUCCCUUCAUUUUUUCCGGAGCUGUAAUUUUGUACACUGAAAACAUUGUAUAUAUUGAAUGACAUGUAAUGUAAUUGAAUGAGAAGUCUUUCAUCUAUAAUCAAUUUUAAAGUCCAGUCAGUCCAUCCUGAAAGUAUUCAAAAUAAUGUUAAUAUAUAAUGUAGUAAAUGAUGUACUCAGAAAAAGAGAAUGAAUUAAAUCCUUUUAUUCUUUCA